rnacentral:rRNA from 1 species
UACGUAGGGUGCAAGCGUUAAUCGGAAUUACUGGGCGUAAAGCGUGCGCAGGCGGUUGUGUAAGACAGAUGUGAAAUCCCCGGGCUCACCUGGGAACUGCAUUUGUGACUGCACAGCUGGGGUGCGGCAGAGGGGGAUGGAAUUCCGCGUGUAGCAGUGAAAUGCGUAGAUAUGCGGAGGAACACCGAUGGCGAAGGCAAUUCCCUGGGCCUGCACUGACGCUCAUGCACGAAAGCGUGGGGAGCAAACAGG